rnacentral:piRNA from 1 species
UGACUACCUACACAGAGGGGCCAGCCA